AUAUAUCAACCUCUUCAAAUUUUGAAAAGUUUAUUGAGCGUUGGAUAUGGGGGUUUUUGUUUUGCUGGUCUUAUCACAAAGGUCAGCUCCCCUGAAAUGUAUUAGCGGAACAUUUUGUGGACCGUUCAUUGGUGUGAUAACUAUCUACGCUAUUGACGUGAAACAGUUCCGCUUCUAACAGUCCAUUGACUUGGACAAAUUUUUAUUA
rnacentral:misc_RNA from 1 species